rnacentral:rRNA from 1 species
CACGUAGGGUCCGAGCGUUGUCCGGAAUUAUUGGGCGUAAAGAGCUCGUAGGCGGUGUGUCGCGUCGGCCGUGAAAAACCUGCAGCUUAACUGUGGGCGUGCGGGCGAUACGGGGCAGACUAGAGUGAUGUAGGGGAGACUGGAAUUCCUGGUGUAGCGGUGAAAUGCGCAGAUAUCAGGAGGAACACCGAUGGCGAAGGCAGGUCUCUGGGCCACUACUGACGCUGAGAAGCGAAAGCAUGGGGGAGCGAACAGG